rnacentral:rRNA from 1 species
UACGUAGGGGGCAAGCGUUGUCCGGAAUCAUUGGGCGUAAAGAGCGUGUAGGCGGCCCGGUAAGUCCGCUGUGAAAGUCCAGGGCUCAACCCUGGAAUGCCGGUGGAAACUGUCGGGCUAGAGUCCGGAUGAGGCGAGUGGAAUUCCUGGUGUAGCGGUGAAAUGCGCAGAUAUCAGGAGGAACACCAAUGGCGAAGGCAGCUCGCUGGGACGGUACUGACGCUGAGACGCGAAAGCGUGGGGAGCAAACAGG